rnacentral:tRNA from 1 species
UGAGGUAUAGCUCAGUGGGAGAACAUUUGACUGCAGAUCAAGAGGUCCCUGGUUCAAAUCCGGGUGUCCCCU